rnacentral:rRNA from 1 species
UACGUAGGAUGCAAGCGUUGUCCGGAAUUAUUGGGCGUAAAGAGCGCGCAGGCGGUAUGACAAGUCAGAUGUGAAAGAGGCCGGCUUAACCGGCAAGGGUCAUUUGAAACUGUCAGACUAGAGUGCAGCAGAGGAUAGUGGAAUUCCCGGUGUAGUGGUGAAAUGCGUAGAUAUUGGGAGGAACACCAGUGGCGUAAGCGGCUAACUAGACGAGUACUGACGCUCAGGCACGAAAGCGUGGGGAUCAAACAGGA